rnacentral:rRNA from 1 species
UUGAACGCUGGCGGCAGGCCUAACACAUGCAAGUAGAACGGUAACAGGAAACAGCUUGCUGUUUCGCUGACGAGUGGCGGACGGGUGAGUAAUGUCUGGGAAACUGCCUGAUGGAGGGGGAUAACUACUGGAAACGGUAGCUAAUACCGCAUAACGUCGCAAGACCAAAGAGGGGGACCUUCGGGCCUCUUGCCAUCGGAUGUGCCCAGAUGGGAUUAGCUAGUAGGUGGGGUAACGGCUCACCUAGGCGACGAUCCCUAGCUGGUCUGAGAGGAUGACCAGCCACACUGGAACUGAGACACGGUCCAGACUCCUACGGGAGGCAGCAGUGGGGAAUAUUGCACAAUGGGCGCAAGCCUGAUGCAGCCAUGCCGCGUGUAUGAAGAAGGCCUUCGGGUUGUAAAGUACUUUCAGCGGGGAGGAAGGGAGUAAAGUUAAUACCUUUACUCAUUGACGUUACCCGCAGAAGAAGCACCGGCUAACUCCGUG